rnacentral:ribozyme from 1 species
UGUAGCCAUACCGCACUGAUAUGGGUAUGGAUCCGAAGCCUCUCGAAGGAUAAUAUAGGCAUUCCAUACCCUACUCCGAAUCAAUACGUCCCCGUCGUACAGAAUGGUAACAUAUCUCUCCAAAUAUCUGAGCUUGGGUAUACGGGGAAACCCAACCCCUUGGGAAGAUGGGGUUUAGGGCUAAAUUGAGCGGA